rnacentral:rRNA from 1 species
AGUGAACGCUGGCGGUAGGCCUAACACAUGCAAGUCGAACGGCAGCACAGUAAGAGCUUGCUCUUACGGGUGGCGAGUGGCGGACGGGUGAGGAAUACAUCGGAAUCUACUUUUUCGUGGGGGAUAACGUAGUGAAACUUACGCUAAUACCGCAUACGACCUACGGGUGAAAGCAGGGGAUCUUCGGACCUUUCGCGAUUGAAUGAGCCGAUGUCGGAUUAGCUAGUUGGCGGGGUAAAGGCCCACCAAGGCGACGAUCCGUAGCUGGUCUGAGAGGAUGAUCAGCCACACUGGAACUGAGACACGGUCCAGACUCCUACGGGAGGCAGCAGUGGGGAAUAUUGGACAAUGGGCGCAAGCCUGAUCCAGCCAUACCGCGUGGGUGAAGAAGGCCUUCGGGUUGUAAAGCCCUUUUGUUGGGAAAGAAAAGCAGCAGGUUAAUACCCCGCUGUUCUGACGGUACCCAAAGAAUAAGCACCGGCUAACUUCGUG